CCUUUGGGCUGGAGAGGACUCAACAGCACAAGACAAAAAAGGGAAGAUUAGCUUGGCCCCUGCUCGAGGAUGAUACCCCAAUUAAUGAUGGUUUCCAUAAUUUC